rnacentral:rRNA from 1 species
CCUCGGCGUAAAGAGUGGUUAAAGAAAAACCCCCUACUAAAGCCGAACAUUCUCACUACUGUUAUACGUACUCUCGAGUAAGAAGCCCCAAUACGAAAGUAGCUUUAUUUUACUUGACCCCACGAAAGCUGUGAAACAAACUGGGAUUAGAUACCCCACUAUGCACAGCCACAAACUUUGGCACCCUCUUACACAAGGUGCCCGCCCGGGUACUACGAGCACCAGCUUGAAACCCAAAGGACUUGGCGGUGCUUAAGACCCACCUAGAGGAGCCUGUUCUAGAACCGAUGACCCCCGUUAAACCUCACCUUCUCUUGCUCCGUCCGCCUAUAUACCGCCGUCGUCAGCUUACCCUGUGAAGGCCCGAUAGUAAGCGAUAGUAGCG